AAAUAUAAGCCUAUUAUAAAAAAUAAAUUGAUUUACGGAACAUCUUUCCAUUUAACCUGCCUCACAAAUCCAAUUCUUCCCUCAUCUAUCCUGAUUUCUCAUUUUCCCCAAAUUUCACCGCCCCAACUCCACGCCGCCUCCACCCAACCGCCGUCGCCCGUCCUGCCAUUGCUAUGCUACAUACAAAGUCGCAAAACAAAAACCCUACAAAACCAUACUUGUAAUAAGCCCUAUCACUUCCCAUCCAACCAGUCCGUCAACGCCGCUGCUCUCCACCACAACCCAGGCUAUUACUAGUCCGCCGCCCCUGUUACUCCAAUUGAGGCACUUGAUCAUUAUCAUCACCCUUUUUGACCCAACUCUAAUGGUGAGAAAACUGUACAGGUUUUGUAGGCUACCAGCCUCCUCAAGAUGGGAAAGUCUUCUGGAAAAUGGAUUAAGGGCAUUACUUUUGGUAAAAAAAAAAAGAAUCCAAUCUAGUCUGUUGCCAUCCUGAUUAAAUGAAGUUCUUACAAAGAUGAAGUUAAUCAAGAAAUGUAAUUUAGAGUACAUUGUUGUGAUAAGGAGCUCCAAGGAAAAUUGGAAAUGCUAGAUAAACAUUGUAGCUAUGUAGAGCAUUUUUUAUUGAUUUCAUUUUAAAAUUGUAUACUAUGAUUUUAUUGAAAUUAUUAUGUAAAUAAUUUUUUUAAAGUUUUUGUAUGUAAUUGAUUGUUUUGUA